rnacentral:tRNA from 1 species
UACAGUGUACCUCAGUGGUAGAGUGUUUGCCUAGCAUGCAUGAGGCCCUGGGUUCAAUUCCCAGCUCUGCAA